ACGGGUGAGUAACACGUGGUCAACCUUCCCUACAGUGGGGGAUAACUAGCCGAAAGGUUAGCUAAUACCGCAUAACAUCUACGAGCGGCAUCGUUUGUAGAUCAAAGGAGCAAUCCGCUGAAGGACGGGACCGCGUCCCAUUAGUUAGUUGGUGGGGUAAUGGCCUACCAAGACUCCGAUGGGUAGCUGGUUUGAGAGAGCGACCAGCCACACUGGGACUGAGAAACGGCCCAG
rnacentral:rRNA from 1 species